CAGGGGGCCUCACCCGGGCCCACAGCGCAGCCGGGAGGGCGCUGCCCCCGGAGAGCGGCGCCGCCCGCGCUCCCCUCCCUGCCCGAGGUCUGACUGGACACAACUACCAUCUUGGGGUGCCUGACUGGUUGUCUGCAAGGAAGGUGUGUAGACAUCACACCUUUCUCUUUCCCUGACAACCCAUUGCUGUGGUACAGCACAGGACAUGAGCAAGAUGCUCCAUAGCAUCUGAGAUGGCAGUGAAAAUCCUGUGACAGAGGCAGGAUCCUUGGAGAUGGGUACAAGCAUGAAACUCCAAAGAGGAGCUGGGGAAGGACUCUGGAGUAGCCUGGAGCCAUAACUACACUUAGAAAGGUGGAGAGGACAAAUGUGAAGGGAGCACAUAUGACAAGCAAGAGACCUGAAACAAAGCACUCCAAAGCCCUGUGAGGCAUAGAUGACCAAAUUGCUUGUUUUUCUUUGGCUGCAUUCACUUUGCUUGUUCCAGAACUAGGAGUGGAGCCUCUGUGCACACCAGUGCUACUCUUGGAGUCAUCAGCAGUCUGCAGAUACAGUUCCAGCUACAGUACAUGUGUAGCCAUUACAUGAAAAAAAGGGAUGUGUGAGAUGCCCAUCUCAGGCAGGCUGUGCAUCUGCAACUUCUUGCUCAAAUGACUCCAAAUUUGCCCCAAGUGAUAUUUAUCCAGGGCCUCUGGGAGGUUCAUUAGUACUGCAAAAAUCAGAUGGAGCAUGAGAAUAUCGAGGUAUAUUGCAUACUUCCUUGUUAAGCAGAACAUGAUGCUCAUUCUUCACUAUGGUAGAGCAAUGCACACUCUCUGGGAUGGAUCUGAGUGUGUACAGUGCUGAAGUAUCGUAAGUAAUAAAUGGUGUACCCAAUAGUGCCUAGCUGCAGUGGUGAUUAAUCAUUUAGGCCCUGAUCCUGCAAACAUGCAUGAGUUUAACGUUACUACUAUGAGUAAUCCCCUUGAUUUCAAAUU